AACAGGAUUAGAUACCCUGGUAGUCCACGCUGUAAACGAUGUCGACUUGGAGGUUGUUCCCUUGAGGAGUGGCUUCCGGAGCUAACGCGUUAAGUCGACCGCCUGGGGAGUACGGCCGCAAGGUUAAAACUCAAAUGAAUUGACGGGGGCCCGCACAAGCGGUGGAGCAUGUGGUUUAAUUCGAUGCAACGCAAAGAACCUUACCUACUCUUGACAUCCAGAGAACUUAGCAGAGGUGCUUUGGUGCCUUCGGGAACUCUGAGACAGGUGCUGCAUGGCUGUCGUCAGCUCGUGUUGUGAAAUGUUGGGUUAAGUCCCGCAACGAGCGCAACCCUUAUCCUUUGUUGCCAGCGAUUCGGUCGGGAACUCAAAGGAGACUGCCAGUGAUAAACUGGAGGAAGGUGGGGAUGACGUCAAGUCAUCAUGGCCCUUACGAGUAGGGCUACACACGUGCUACAAUGGCAUAUACAAAGAGAAGCGACCUCGCGAGAGCAAGCGGACCUCAUAAAGUAUGUCGUAGUCCGGAUUGGAGUCUGCAACUCGACUCCAUGAAGUCGGAAUCGCUAGUAAUCGUGGAUCAGAAUGCCACGGUGAAUACGUUCCCGGGCCUUGUACACACCGCCCGUCACACCAUGGGAGUGGGUUGCAAAAGAAGUAGGUAGCUUAACCUUCGGGAGGGCGCUUACCACUUUGUGAUUCAUGACUGGGGUGAAGUCGUAACAAGGUAACC
rnacentral:rRNA from 1 species